CCAGACUCCUACGGGAGGCAGCAGUGGGGGAUAUUGCACAAUGGGGGGAACCCUGAUGCAGCGACGCCGCGUGGGUGAAGGAGCGUUUCGGCGCGUAAAGCCCUAUCGGCAGGGAAGAAGGAGGACGGUACCUGACUAAGAAGCCCCGGCUAACUACGUGCCAGCAGCCGCGGGAAUACGUAGGGGGCAAGCGUUAUCCGGAUUUACUGGGUGUAAAGGGGGCGCAGACGGCAGCGCAAGCCAGGAGUGAAACCCCGGGGCUCAACCCCGGGCAUGCAUUGGGAACUACCGGGCUGGAGUGCCGGAGAGGUAGGCGGAAUUCCUAGUGUAGCGGUGAAAUGCGUAGAUAUUAGGAGGAACACCAGUGGCGAAGGCGGCCUACUGGACGGUGACUGACGCUGAGGCUCGAAAGCGUGGGGAGCAAACAGGAUUAGAUACCCCGGUACU
rnacentral:rRNA from 1 species